GGAUGUGAGGGCGAUCUGGCUGUGACACCUGUCACCCCAUUGAUCGCCAAGGUUGAUUCAGCUGAUGGAGCUAGCUAGGUGGGUGUCCGCUUUCUCCCUCAGUGCUCACGUGCAUCCAUCCUGAAGCUGCAUGCUCGGUCAAAGAGGAUGACCUUCCUCGACUAGAGGAGGACUAGCUCUCCAUCAAGGGUAUAUGAGCAACUGUGCUCCCCUGGUAGAACCUCCAAACAAGCUCUCAAGGAAUAUCCAUCCAAUGUUGCCCUGUCUCUUUUGUGCACCACUAUUCAUCUGUAGUAGAUACUGAUGAUAG
rnacentral:snRNA from 1 species